rnacentral:rRNA from 1 species
CGAACGCUGGCGGCAGGCUUAACACAUGCAAGUCGAGCGAAGACUUCGGUCUUAGCGGCGGACGGGUGAGUAACGCGUGGGAACGUGCCUUUCUGUACGGAACAGUCCCGGGAAACUGGGUUUAAUACCGUAUACGCCCCUUGGGGGAAAGAUUUAUCGCAGAGAGAUCGGCCCGCGUUGGAUUAGGUAGUUGGUGAGGUAACGGCUCACCAAGCCGACGAUCCAUAGCUGGUUUGAGAGGAUGAUCAGCCACACUGGGACUGAGACACGGCCCAGACUCCUACGGGAGGCAGCAGUGGGGAAUCUUGGACAAUGGGGGAAACCCUGAUCCAGCCAUGCCGCGUGAGUGAUGAAGGUCUUAGGAUCGUAAAACUCUUUCGCUGGGGAAGAUAAUGACGGUACCCAGUAAAGAAACCCCGGCUAACUCC